AGGGUUUGAUCCUGGCUCAGAUUGAACGCUGGCGGCAGGCCUAACACAUGCAAGUCGAGCGGUAGAGAGAAGCUUGCUUCUCUUGAGAGCGGCGGACGGGUGAGUAAUGCCUAGGAAUCUGCCUGGUAGUGGGGGAUAACGUUCGGGAACGGACGCUAAUACCGCAUACGUCCUACGGGAGAAAGCAGGGGACCUUCGGGCCUUGCGCUAUCAGAUGAGCCUAGGUCGGAUUAGCUAGUUGGUGAGGUAAUGGCUCACCAAGGCGACGAUCCGUAACUGGUCUGAGAGGAUGAUCAGUCACACUGGAACUGAGACACGGUCCAGACUCCUACGGGAGGCAGCAGUGGGGAAUAUUGGACAAUGGGCGAAAGCCUGAUCCAGCCAUGCCGCGUGCGUGAAGAAGGUCUUCGGAUUGUAAAGCACUUUAAGUUGGGAGGAAGGGUUGUAGGUUAAUACUCUGCAAUUUUGACGUUACCGACAGAAUAAGCACCGGCUAACUCUGUGCCAGCAGCCGCGGUAAUACAGAGGGUGCAAGCGUUAAUCGGAAUUACUGGGCGUAAAGCGCGCGUAGGUGGUUUGUUAAGUUGGAUGUGAAAUCCCCGGGCUCAACCUGGGAACUGCAUUCAAAACUGACUGACUAGAGUAUGGUAGAGGGUGGUGGAAUUUCCUGUGUAGCGGUGAAAUGCGUAGAUAUAGGAAGGAACACCAGUGGCGAACGCGACCACCCGGACUAAUACUGACACUGAGGUGCGAAAGCGUGGGGAGCAAACAGGAUUAGAUACCCUGGUAGC
rnacentral:rRNA from 1 species